AAGAGUCUGGGAUUAAUUAGGGAUCAACUGGGUAUUAGGCGGAAAGCAGGUGGCUCUUGGAAUGAGAGGUGGGGAGGGGGCCUCUGGCGCGGGAAGAGUCCGGGGGAAAUCCCAGGAUCUCCGGGGGGUUCGACUAGGGACUCAGUGAGACCCAAACAUCUGGGGAAUCACGCGGGAUCGGGUGGGUCCGGGGUCGCGAGGGUUCCGGCUCACCGGUAUCAUGCAGGAAGAGUACCAACGUGAUCCCCCAGGUCAGCACUGUAUGCCCGGUCCGCACCAGGACCCCAGGGGUGAAGAGCGCCCAGGGCGCCAUCGCCUCGGCCCCGGGCCCCACCCGGAAGAAGCGCUCAGAGGGGCGGGCCCUCCGAGGAACAGGGCCCGCGGCCGCCCGGGGAUUGGCGGAUGCGGGCUGUGGGCGUGGCCGGAUUGGGCCAGGGAGGCCGCCUAUUGGGCGACAGCUGCGGUUUAGUAGGCCCUCGAGCCAACAGGUGCCUGAAGAAGCUGAGGGCGGGGCCGGCGCGCGCGCAGCCGGUAACUCCCCCAGCUCCACCCCCCACUCCCCCAACCCCAGCAUCCAGGUAACUUUCAAAAACCGACCUCCCGUCGCGAGUCCCGCUCCAGUCCCGCUGAAGUUCCACCACCCGCCCCCAGGCCACAGAUUCACGCAUGCGUCCAGGAAGAUCCAGGUGUUGUGACUCAAGGUGGCAGAAUUGCGCCCGGUUCGGAGAUGAGAUGCUCGAAGCCUCAAGAGAGGCAGGACUAAACCAAAGUGACUUCAGGGUAAUAACAUUACCAUUUUCAGAUUUUGCAGACGGGAUGAGACCAGAGUGGAAACAGUUGCAGGCAGGGACCCUGUUGCUCUGUGGCCAGCCAGAUCCUCAGUGUCUGGGCACAGGGGUGUGGAGAGACUGCAGAGGAAAAGCAGGUGUUCCAGUCCCAUCUGCCACUGCUGAAGAAUGGAUGCUUUUGGACUGCGGUUGGGAGGACUCUUGAGAGCCCCUCAGACUGCAAGGAGAUCAAACCAGUCCAUCCUAAAGGAAAUCGGUCCUGAAUAUUCAUUGGAAGGACUAAUGCUGAAGCUGAAACUCCAAUACUUUGGCUGCCUCAUGCAAAGAACUGACUCAUUGGAAAAGACCCUGAUGCUGGGAAAGAUUGAAGGUGGGAGGAGAAGGGCACGACAGAGGAUGAGAUGGUUGGAUGACAUCACCAACUCAAUGGACAUGAGUUUGAGUAAACUCCGGGUGUUGGUGAUGGACAGGGAGGCCUGGCAUGCUGCAGUCCACGGGGUUGCAAAGAGUCAGACAUGACUGAGCAACUCAACAGACCAAACUGCCACCUCUCCCCUUGGGCCGGGCCCACAGACUGACCCAAUGCACCCUCCCGUCACUGCUCUUGCACUCCAGGCACACCACCCAAGCCAGCCCAGGCCCCCUCUCCAUGGCCCCAUCCCUUCCACAAAAAAAAAGACACUCUGCUCUUUUCCACUUUGCACAAAAAUGUAUUUCUGUGACAUCCCAAAGUACAGACAUUUACCC